GGUUAUGGCUCAGCGGUAGAGCGCUCGCCUUCUAUGUGCAAGGCCCUGGGUUCAAUCCUCAACACCA
rnacentral:tRNA from 1 species